CCCUUAGAUGUUCUGGGCUGCACGCGCGCUACACUGAUGCACUCAACGAGUUUACGACCUUGCCCGAUAGGGUUGGGUAAUCUUUUUAAAAUGCAUCGUGAUGGGGAUAGAUUAUUGCAAUUAUUAAUCUUCAACGAGGAAUUCCUAUUAAGCGCGAGUCAUCAGCUCGUGCUGAUUACGUCCCUGCCCUUUGUACACACCGCCCGUCGCUCCUACCGAUUGAGUGCUCAGGUGAAUAAUUCGGACUGCAGCAAUGUUUGGAUCCCGAACGUUGCAGCGGAAAGUUUAGUGAACCUUAUCACUUAGAGGAAGGAGAAGUCGUAACA
rnacentral:rRNA from 1 species